rnacentral:rRNA from 1 species
AGUGAACGCUGGCGGCGUGCCUAAUACAUGCAAGUCGAACGAGUGGCGCACGGGUGAGUAAUGUCUGGGAAACUGCCUGAUGGAGGGGGAUAACUACUGGAAACGGUAGCUAAUACCGCAUACCAUCAGAUGUGCCCAGAUGGGAUUAGCUAGUAGGUGGGGUAAUGGCUCACCUAGGCGACGAUCCCUAGCUGGUCUGAGAGGAUGACCAGCCACACUGGAACUGAGACACGGUCCAGACUCCUACGGGAGGCAGCAGUGGGGAAUAUUGCACAAUGGGCGCAAGCCUGAUGCAGCCAUGCCGCGUGUGUGAAGAAGGCCUUCGGGUUGUAAAGCACUUUCAGCGAGGAGGCGUUACUCGCAGAAGAAGCACCGGCUAACUCCGUGCCAGCAGCCGCGGUAAUUC